UUUUUUUCCUUUUAAAUCCUCUCUCCGGAGGUUAGCGGAAGGAGAGGAAGAAAGACAGUGGGAAAUCAACAAAAUGUGCAACACCAAAGAGUAGAUUUUCGCGGGGUUUUCUUGUCAACUUAGCAACAGCCGCACGCGAGGAGACGUCAUCACGUGAGGCCCCCCCCGCCCCGCCUUUACUCUCAGCCCGGCUGCGGUUUGCAGGAGCUCCAAUUUCUGGCCGAGGCGGCAGCGGCGGGGCACCGCGAAGGAAGCGGGAGGCCCGCCGAGCCCGCCCCGCCCCACACAAGCUGCCGCCCGCCGCUGCAGUGGCCCCACCCACCGACAAAUGCAGGGGAAGCGGAAAGAGCGGGAGCUGGCGUGGGACCCGAGAGGGAAGACUGGAACUUGGGAGUUUGAAUCUGAACAUUUGCCUACAAUUUAUCCUCAGUAACUGCCGUGCCUUUAACAAGCUGGACUACACUUAACACAUGUUCUUUGGUGGAGCAGAGAUGACUUGUCCGUCCUAUCCAAGAAAUGAGGAAGAGGUCAUGUAUUCUUUGAGGAGUUUCCCCUGCCCACCCAAUCCUCUCACUUUUGGAAGCAAUCAGGAGGAGCAAAACAAGCACGGUCAGAUAAGGCUGGAUGGUGAGGAGGAGAUGCUGGAUGUAGCUGCUGGAGGCACUGAAGCUAAGAUCAAGGGAUUGAUACUGAUACUUAGAUACAGAAAUGAUGACAUAAUAUGGCAUGCUUCCUCCGUCUCACACAGCUUAAAUACCAAGGGAAUAACUUUAAAUCUUGCUGGAUGGAACUGACACUCACCGCUAGAAAUCGGGGAUCGACAGCAAACUCUGGAUGACCCUGUAACCACAUCUCCAGUUCAGCCCGGCGAGGGGCAUCCUCUCCCACCAGCAAAGUACCAUCCACCUUAUUGAUGACAGGGAUCCGGGUGUCCAGGUCCACAUCAAGGUGAUUAGGCUCUUCCAUGCAUUCCACCUCCAGCUGCAAACCCAGAAUCCACCCCCAUGAGCACAUACUCUUCUUUGGGGGUGGGGAGCGAGGGGGAGUAGAGCCAAUGGUAUCCAUAAAAUAAUUCUAGUAUCUCCUAGUCCCUUAAUCCCAUCUGUCUUCAUUGAUAAGUAGAAAUAAAAAUAAUCAUGUUAAAGACUUUGUCUAUCACUCACCUCGACCAGCUUCUUUCUAUUUCCUUUCUUCUUAUGAAACAGAGGAUGUCCAUCUCCCAUUACUCCAUUAGCCAUCAACUUGUGCUUCUGGAAUGUUAACUUCAAUCCUUCCUCCUGAGAAGACAACCCAACCACCCAAGAUGUCAUAUGGCAUAUGUUUUUAAAUUUUGUGAACUGAGCUGCUGCUGUGGUGACUGCAGACACUUCCUCCUCUGCCAUGGAAGCCGCGCUGCUACUUCGUGGUGUGGGGACUGGAGAGUCACCAUAUUCUCCUGGAGUCAAGGAGGGACUAUCUAGCAAGUGGUUGCCAGGCCCCAGAAUUCCUCCUGUUACCAUCUCCUGGCUCCGGCGGCUAGAAGGCCACUUCCCUGAGAGUACGGCCUGGCAGACGAGGUCAAUACGGUUUAUAAGGACACGAUCCUGAGUGGGGAGAAAAGAAAUCAAUACUGGUUUUAGGGACUGAGAACCAGCUAUGUGAUUCUGUGACAAGCAAUACUGCCACCAUUAUCAGAAUGGGUAAAAAUCACAAGGUAGAAGGAGGGAGGUAAUAGUAUCAGAUCCCUACGUCGACUGGGAAGAGUUUAAUAAAACAAACAAAGAAACAAAUAUGUAGCACUAAAUAUAAUUAAAGAAAACCAAAACCA